UGGGGAAUAUUGCACAAUGGGCGCAAGCCUGAUGCAGCCAUGCCGCGUGUGUGAAGAAGGCCUUCGGGUUGUAAAGCACUUUCAGCGAGGAGGAAGGUGGUGAGCUUAAUACGCUCAUCAAUUGACGUUACUCGCAGAAGAAGCACCGGCUAACUCCGUGCCAGCAGCCGCGGUAAUACGGAGGGUGCAAGCGUUAAUCGGAAUUACUGGGCGUAAAGCGCACGCAGGCGGUUUGUUAAGUCAGAUGUGAAAUCCCCCGGGCUCAACCUGGGAACUGCAUUUGAAACUGGCAAGCUAGAGUCUCGUAGAGGGGGGUAGAAUUCCAGGUGUAGCGGUGAAAUGCGUAGAAAUCUGGAGGAAUACCGGUGGCGAAGGCGGCCCCCUGGACGAAGACUGACGCUCAGGUGCGGAAGCGU
rnacentral:rRNA from 1 species